AGGCUUUCAAAUCCGAGACUCCCUCGAUGGACUUUAUUAAAGAGGCGUCGACAACUUUCUAGUUUUCUUUCUUGUCUUCUGGCAACUUCUUCUUAUCUUCCUUUUCAGCUUCGAAGAACUCUCUCCCCCCCUUCUGCCCUUCUUUGUCUUCUUCUCGACUU